rnacentral:rRNA from 1 species
GACGAACGCUGGCGGCGUGCUUAAUACAUGCAAGUCGAACGGAAAGGCCCUGCUUUUGUGGGGUGCUCGAGUGGCGAACGGGUGAGUAACACGUGAGUAACCUGCCCUUGACUUUGGGAUAACUUCAGGAAACUGGGGCUAAUACCGGAUAGGAGCUCCUGCUGCAUGGUGGGGGUUGGAAAGUUUCGGCGGUUGGGGAUGGACUCGCGGCUUAUCAGCUUGUUGGUGGGGUAGUGGCUUACCAAGGCUUUGACGGGUAGCCGGCCUGAGAGGGUGACCGGCCACAUUGGGACUGAGAUACGGCCCAGACUCCUACGGGAGGCAGCAGUGGGGAAUAUUGCACAAUGGGCUGAAGCCUGAUGCAGCAACGCCGCGUGCGGGAUGACGGCCUUCGGGUUGUAAACCGCUUUCGCCUGUGACGAAGCGUGAGUGACGGUAAUGGGUAAAGAAGCACCGGCUAACUACGUG